rnacentral:piRNA from 1 species
UUCUCAGCCGGAACCCCAUGUGGUCA